UUUUUUUUUUUUGCCGAUGACAGUUGUCUUUUCUUUAAAAUCCUCUUUUUAUUUUCAAUUCCUCUGUUCUCACCUUUCAUAUUCAAUAUUUUUUCUCCGUGGCAGCCUCUGCACAUCCCAUUCCUUCAACUUCCCAUGUGUUCCCACACAUCCUAUCCAUAUCCCCAGAUCCCAGUGGUGGGUUUGCAAUUACUGCCUGAAUUUAUCCUGCCACACCACCUCUCACAAAGUGGCAACAAAAGGUUCCUGGUUAGAGCCUUGAUUUCCAUAAAAGAGCCCUGGAACUGAAGAAGAUGAAUUCUCAGCUCUGCUUUUCACCAGCACUGACUCUGGCUCAUCCUAAAUUUCCCAUGGUGUUAGUCAAAGGAAAUCCUGCCUUGGAAAAGGAGUAAAAUGGACAAAUGCAGAGAUAAAUACACAGGUGCGUGGUUUCAGUAAAUACAAAUAUCUCUGUUUCAGCCUGAGGAAUGCAAUCCCACAGAUCCUGCUGCAGAGCAAGGGGCUGACAGGAAAUGAUCACACUGUGAUCAGGCAACCAGGCAGAGAAUGCUGCUAGGUAUUAAAAUCCAAAUUAUUGACCUUCAUCAGGCAGUGGCUGCUGUUAGGGCUUGUCAAAUCCAAAUUUUUGGGCUGGUGCCUUUCACAGAAUCCCUGGGAAUGAAGGAACAGAACAUUCCAGCUCUGCAGCAUCCCUGCUCCGGCUUUUUCUCCCUCUGAAACUUCCCACAGUGUCAUCUGAUCUACCCAUGGCUGGAUAAUGCUGGUUCCAGAAGAAAUCUGCCAGAGAAAAUGAGAGUUCCUACAUUUCCUGCUGGAACUGCCCAUGAAUUAUGGCUCCAGCCAGCAAUGAGCAGCUCCAGCUCUGUGGAAAGGCUCUGAAGGAAGAGAAAUUCCAUUUUUAUUUUCAUUUCAUUUUCAGAGCAUCCUCAGGACUCCAGGCAGCAGUGACACCUCCUGUGGCACAGAGAGCACAGGGACAGCCCUUCUUUUGUACCCUGAGGGCAAUUCUUGUGGCAAAUUUAACGCUUCUGAGCUCAAUUCUUGGGGCAAAUUUACCCCUGAGCUCAAUUUUUGUAGUAAAUUUACCCCUGAGCUCAAUUCUUGUGGCAAAUUUGCCCCUCCUGAGCUCAAUUCUUGAGGUAAAUUUACCCCUGAGCAGCCCUUGGUGAAGCUCUCACAUGCAGGACACUCUGAUUUACCACUGACAUUCCCAUCAAGUGAGUGUCACUGUCAUUUAUUGCUGUCAUAACUGGAUAAUAAUUCAUUUUAUGCUCAAUAUUUUGAUCCUAAAGCAGAUCCCAGCCUUUGUGUCCUAUAAAUACCAUCCCCAGCUUCCUCCCAAAGCCAGCUCUGCACCCCGGGGCGCCCUGGCAGAGCACCUUGGCCAUGGACCCUCCUCAGGUGUUUCCACUUGAUGAAACAAUUAAUUUUUUGAGGUCUUUAAUUGACAUUGUGAUCCCAAGAGCACAGUGGGAGUUAAAUAUUUCCUUUUUAUAAUUGCACAUUUCACAUGCUGGAAGCAAUUUCUGGAUUAUAUCCCCAGGACCAUAUUCUGCACCAGAAUUGAAACUUUGUGAUGGAAAUUAAUUACAUUUUCGGUAUGUCUGAAUUACUGAUGAGCCAAAAAAAAAAAAAAAAAUCAGUUUAAAUGUGGUUUUUGGAGGAAAAAAAAAAGUGGUGCUGUGAUCUCUGUUGUAAAAUAGCUUCUCAUGUCACCAUUAAAGUUUGUUCUCUGCCUGAAAGUCCUGCAUGGAAAAACCAUGGCUACAGAAUGUGGCCUUUCAAAGAAAUGUUGCAUGAGAUGAAAAAUAUCACAUCAGCUUUCAGAAGAGAAAUCUGAGAAGAACUUGGAAAAAUAAAAGCAUUUCCAAGUCAAAUAUUUGAGAUGAAGUGUUACCCAUGGGAGCUUUCUUCAUAAAUACAUAAAAGCAGCUUUUGGGGAAUGCCCAUAAUUGCUGCAUUACAUAUUCCUGCACUUGGCAAACUGAUGCUUGAGUUUGAAAAUAAAUCAAUUUGGGCUUUUGCAAGCGAGAGGGAGAGGCAGAAAAUAUGUUUGUGUUGGUCUGCAGUAAUUUUUGGAGUAGAUCAGCAACUUUGGGGGCUUUAAUGGGUCCACCAAGAAGGGCUUUUGUCUCCAAGCACAGUGCACCCCAAAAGCAGGACAGAGGGGACAGAGGAAGGCAAUUCCACGGGGUGUGGAUGUGCUGCUGAGCUCUGCCUUGCCAUGGGGUAUUUAUAGAUCUGUGGGGAUGCUCAAGCUGAGCCAGGGUGGAACUGGGGCUGGGCACAGCCCACAGAGCUGAUGGGAGGGGAAGGCGAGCAGAACAAAGGAACCACAGAGACCAGGUCGGGUCCUCCUGAGGAGGAGCAGGUGUGGGUUGGACAGAGCUGAAAGAGCAGCUGGAUAAAGGACAGGGAGCACAGCACGCCCAGAGCAGGAGUUACUUCAAAGGAAAGCUUCUCUCAUCCUACAAAAGGUUCUGCGUGUGCAGCCCUGAAAGGGAAGAGCUGGGAGCUGAUGGAUGGGGCAGGAGCUGGGCAGGAGCUCCUGACCUGCCCUGUCCUGGAGCACCCCCAGUGCUGCUCCUCACCCAGCUCAGCCCACCCCAAUUCCAUGCCCUAAUUCCAUAUUCAGCUGCUCUGAAGGGUUGGGGUCAUGUAAACCCCGGCACAGCUUCCCCUCAGGAGCUCCAGCCCAUGUGAGCCAUGGACGGGCAGGUUUUGGGGGGUUGUGAGCUAAUCCUGGUGUCCUGGAAACAGCCACUGGGUUUACAAAUGGUUUCUGAGCUGUCCUGUGAAGGGUUCUUGGAGUGCUCAGCGUUUUCCCCCGAUAAUCCUGCACAUCUGAGGCAUUUAAACUGGUUUGCAGGCACAAUUAAUUAAUUUCUCUUGCUGUUCCUUCGUUGAGUCACUCAGGGAAAUUCCAAACAGAAAGAAAAAACAGUAGUUUCCUGGUUUUAUUGCAAGAGUUUCAAAUCCAGUGCAAUAGGGUUUUUUUCCUAAAUGAUGUCCUGCCAGACUUUGCAAUAAUUCUGCCUUCCU
rnacentral:lncRNA from 1 species